UAAUAUUAUAUGACACGGCCCUUUCAGGUCGAAACAGUGUUGGACAGUGUAAAAUGAGAUGACAAUGGUUUAGCGUUGCAAUAACUCCAGAUGUUGACACAGGAGCCAUCUUGAUGCAAAGGCUUUGCAAAUAGGGAAGCAGUGGCUACAACAAUCUCCUUCCUGAAGGUGACAUUCUACAGUCGGUCUCGAUCAACCCAGCGUGGAGUGUGGACAAAGGAAGACAGCUCCAAUAAUUUUAUUGAUGUCCAUGACAUCUUCCUUGACUCUGAUUGAGACUCUGCGUUUUUGGCCUAGUUUAGCCGGAACAUAUAUGAAGAAGAGAUCGACUUGCUGUUACACUGAUUGAUUUGUCAGAAGAUCAACAGAAUCUACAAUUGCAAAACGAAAAGGAGAACUAGCUAGUGGAAACCGGAAAGCCCUCGUGGACUAGACGACUACUAGAUGAGAAAUUGUUGUGUUAAAAAUCAGGGAAGAGGCAGAUGAUCUAUGUUGAGCACUAGAGCAGAACGAGGACAAGUCAUAUGUUAAUAAAUAAUCUAUACCAGUUGAUGGCAUGGUUUCUCAUUCCAUGGUUGCCCUUAAAGAUGGAAAAAUGGAAAAUCCUACGACGUAAAUUUUCUCAGUCGGGUAUCGAGGAAAAUAGAAGAUGUUC